rnacentral:rRNA from 1 species
UCCUACGGGGGGCAGCAGUGGGGAAUAUUGCACAAUGGGGGGAACCCUGAUGCAGCGACGCCGCGUGAGUGAAGAAGUAUUUCGGUAUGUAAAGCUCUAUCAGCAGGGAAGAAAAAAGACAGUACCUGACUAAGAAGCCCCGGCUAACUACGUGCCAGCAGCCGCGGUAAUACGUAGGGGGCAAGCGUUAUCCGGAAUUACUGGGUGUAAAGGGUGCGUAGGUGGCAUGGUAAGUCAGAAGUGAAAGCCCGGGGCUUAACCCCGUGACUGCUUUUG